GAUGAACGCUGGCGGCAGGCUUAACGCAUGCAAGUCGAGCGGAGCGAGGGUGCUUGCACCUUAGCUUAGCGGCGGACGGGUGAGUAAUGCUUAGGAAUCUGCCUAUUAGUGGGGGACAACAUUCCGAAAGGAAUGUUAAUACCGCAUACGCCCUACGGGGGAAAGCAGGGGAUCUUCGGACCUUGCGCUAAUAGAUGAGCCUAAGUCAGAUGAGCUAGUGGGUGGGGUAAAGGCCUACCAAGGCGACGCUCUGUAGCGGGUCUGAGGGGAUGAUCCGCCACACUGGGACUGAGACACGGCCCAGACUCCUACGGGAGGCAGCAGUGGGGAAUAUUGGACAAUGGGCGAAAGCCUGAUCCAGCCAUGCCGCGUGUGUGAAGAAGGCCUUUUGGUUGUAAAGCACUUUAAGCGAGGAGGAGGCUACUGGUAUUAAUACUACCGGAUAGUGGACGUUACUCGCAGAAUAAGCACCGGCUAACUCUGUGCCAGCCGCCGCGGUAA
rnacentral:rRNA from 1 species